rnacentral:tmRNA from 1 species
GGGGGUGAAACGGCUUCGACGGGGUGGGGAAAAGCUUACGAGGCGACCCGGCAUGGAACCGCCGUAAUGGGCCAAAAACUACAAACGCCAACGACGAAUUCUACGGCGAAGCUGUUGCCGCUGCGUAAGCAGCGGUGACAGCGGGGUCCUGACCCGGACCCGGCAACAGGAGCUGAUGAGGCGGGGUCGAGCCGGAAAGAGAGACGCCGGUUGAAAUAAAAGGAUCUCCAGUACUCCGAGGUAACGGGGGUUCGUUCAUCCUGCCAGCCUGAGACGGAUGAGCGAUCUGAACGGUUGGCGGAUGGUCGUAAUUCCUCGGAGUUCGGUACUUAUUUCGGACGCGGGUUCAACUCCCGCCACCUCCACCA